UACAAAGGGGGCUAGCGUUGCUCGGAAUUACUGGGCGUAAAGCGUACGUAGGCGGCUUUCUAAGUCGGGGGUGAAAUCCUGGAGCUCAACUCCAGAACUGCCUUCGAUACUGGAAAGCUCGAGUCCGGGAGAGGUGAGUGGAACUGCGAGUGUAGAGGUGAAAUUCGUAGAUAUUCGCAAGAACACCAGUGGCGAAGGCGGCUCACUGGCCCGGUACUGACGCUGAGGUGCGAAAGCGUGGGGAGCAAACAGG
rnacentral:rRNA from 1 species